rnacentral:lncRNA from 1 species
CAGUCCUGCCAACAGCUGUGAGUGAGCAUGGACGCAGAUCCUCUCCCAGUGGAGCAUUUGGAUGACCACGGCUCUGGCUAACACCUCACUUACAGCCUUGGGAGAGAUUCUGAGUCAGAGGCAUCCAGCUAAAUUGACCCACAGACACGGUAAAUCAGGGAUUUCUUCUUGGUUUGGAUCCACUGUUGAUUUUAGGUUACAAAAAGAUGGCAGAUUGCAUCUUGGGCACUCUCUUGUAUGACUUUUUGGAGAAGCCAGUUUUCAUGUUGUGAGAGGCCUGGCAGAGGGGCCCAAAUGAGUUCGCUGGGAAGCGGAUCACAGAAACCAUGAGGCCUAUAAAAGCCCCAGGCUCAGCCAGAGCAGAGCAGAUGAUGGAUGACCAGCUGCAGAGAAGAGCUACCCUUUCUGCUGACAGCAGAAGAUGUCCCAACAACCAGCAGAAGAGAGAAGCUAUCCAUUCUAGGGCCUCUUCUCUGCUGAGAGCUUCAGAAACCUGCAGAGACAUCGAGACUACCAGCUGCAGAGUGGAACAAUCCACUCCAGGGCCACCUCUCUGCUGAGAGCUAAGAAGACAAUGAGAUGACCUGCCUGCUAGGAGGAGCUUCCCUCUCCAGGGUCUCCUUUCUGCUAGGAGCUGAACUCUCAUUGGAACAUCCUGGCUGUGGAAAGGAGCUACCCUCUGCAGGUCUCCUGUGUGCUGUUCUAUUGAUCAAUAAAGCUCCCCUUCAUCUCGCUCAUCCUCCACUUGGCUCUGUACCUCAUGCUUCCUAGUUGCAGGACAAGAACUCGGGACCUACCAAAUGGCAGAGCUAAAAGAGCUAUAACACAGGACUGAAACAUGCCCCCUGCUUGCCACAUUGAGGGCAAAGAGAAGGAGAUAAGAUCUGUGCCUUCUCAGGCAGCCCAGACCUGGGAGCUCCCUGAGCCAGGGCUGUGACUCCCUCUUUGGGGUCCUGUGGUGCCUAGUAUCUCCAAGCUUCCAGGUGCCACUGCAUUUCCCGGUGCCAGCUGGGGAAGCUUCCUGCAGUGCACCUGGUCUGGCCACAGCCUCACAGAGAGUCAGUGCCUGUGCCAGCACCUGUAACUGCCCGCCCCAUUGCAGCAGCCGGCAUGUCCGAUUGCACACUGGCUGAACCCCAUGCUCCCUCACACACCCCUUGCCACUCCAUGCCUGACUUACCCUUGGCAGGUAUGGGAUCCAGGCCAGUAGUGUCAGCCAAGUAAAGCCUGCCAGGCCAGGUAGGCAGAACAAACCCAGCGGGCCUAAGCAAGACUUGGGCAAAGACAUCACCAGCCAGAAAAACAAUAUCCCAAGAAUCUUGUGACACUAGGCAUAGUGAAGUUCUUUAUUAAUUUGUAGAUUUUUAACCUGGAAAAUUCUAAUAUUUUCAACUAUUAAAAAAGAUAAUCCCCAAAAUAAUGCUUUAUUGUCAUGUAAAAUAUUAAAUAGAUUGUAUGUAACUUAGCUAUAUUAUUCUAAGAUAAAAUUCAUUAACUUGUCUUUAAGAAACUAGUUCCUAAAAUGCACUUUGAACUGUAUUUAUAAUCUCACUAGUCCUCUACUUAAUUAGGAAGUGGAAUAAAAUAUUUGAUAUAUUUUCUUUUUAUAUUUACAAAAGUCACCAUUUAAAUUCUUUGAAUUUUAACAUGUUAUACUUUUGGAGGAUCCACUGAGACACUAAAGUGGGUUCAUAAAGCCAACCAAACUGUGAUAGCACAGAAAUGUACUUCAGGAGCUGUUUAGGAGGAGAGACUUUUCUUUCUCCUCAAAGUGAUUCUCAAAUAGCAAUAGAGUCCUGGUGCAGUGGCUCAUGCCUACAAUCGAGCACUUUGGGAGGCCAAGGUGGGAGAAUUGUUUGAGCCCAGGAGUUCAAGAUCAGCAUAGGCAACAUAGCGAGACCUCAUCUCUACAAAAAAUACAGAAAUUAGCCAGGUGUGCCGGCAUGUGCUGUGUUUUUUGUCCAGCUACUUGGGAGGCUGAAGUGGAGGGAUUUCUUGAAACUGGGAGGUCAAGACUGAAGUAAGCCAUGAUCCUGCCACUAUACUCCUACAUGGGGGAAAGAGCAAGACUCUGUCU